rnacentral:lncRNA from 1 species
CUCUUCUCCAUGUGCCUUUCGGUCUUUCAGGCUUUCUUUGCCCUUGUGGUGUCCAUGUCAAUACCUUUUCACAUGCCGGUUGUUAUCCAUUCACAGUAUAUGUCCAAUAUAUUUCCACCACCUUCUCAUGAUCUCGUUCACUAUAUUCUUCACACCUGUUCUUUCUGAUAGUUCACUGUUUGAAAUUACAUCUGAUGUUAAUCAUUCUUCUCAAACAGCGUCCUUCGAAUCCUCUAAUUCAACUUUCUACUUUUUUGGUUGUUUUCCAUGUGAGGAAAUAACAAAAACAUAAUAUAUCUGGCCAUAAAAUUUUAUUAAUAAAGCCAUAAAUAUACAGACAAAACAUUAAAAUAUGAUCCAAAAAUGGAAAAUGGCCAGUAUACAAUGAUUAGCAAGAGUUACAUUUCUGCUAUCUAUUGUUCAUAUGAAUUUUCUGUAAAUGAAUUUAGUAUGCUUGAUAAUGUGGUGAAACAAAACAAAUAAACACAAAAACAAAACAAAACAUAAAUUAUAUAUACUGUGGAUUCAUUAUUAAUCGUGGGUUACUGAUUUUCAUGGAUUUUGUUGUUACCAGUGAACCAGGAAGUUAAUUCAACAAAUAACAAAUUCCCUAUAGUCUUAUAUAUAGACAUUAGCAAAACUACGAAAUAAAAUAUCCACGAAAAGUUUUCCUCAAUCCACAAAAAUUGGUUCCAACGAAAAUAAAUGAAUCCACAGUAGACUAAACAGUCUAUUAUUUGAACUUGGAAUUAUUUUUAAUUAUGGAAUUUGUAUAAAUUCUUGUGCUUGAAAUUUUUAAUAAAUUCCAUGUUUAUUUGGUAUUAUGAUAUUUUGAGCAGGUCAUAACACUUUCCAUAUAACGUAUUUUGUAUAGAUAGUGUUGUGCGCGGCACAGUACAUUCUAUUGAAAAGGUACUAACUUCUUUGUAAUAGAAAGUGUUGUGCUGCAAUGGAAUUUAUUAAAAAUUUCAAGCACAAGAAAUUAUGCAAAUUCCAUAAUUAAAAAUAAUUCCAAGUUCAAAUAAUAGCCUGUUACUAAUAAAAAUUCUUAGUACAAUGGCACAUGACACAUGUCACAAUCUUAAUCUUUAAACUAAAAAUGGAAAAUCUAUUUAUAGAAAUUCAGUCAAAACAAAAAAGAGUAAAAAAGAAAGAAAUAAAGUAACAAUACUGGCAUCUUUAGCAUGCUAAAUUUACAGCUUUAUCCUAUAUACUAACAAUCAUGAUUGACUUUUGCUUAAUGCUUAAUGUCCAGUUGCAAAUAUUUUAAGCAUAUCCAGGACAAAUUAACAUGUAUAAUUCUGUGAAUAUAAAUGAUAAUAAAAUGUAACUAUUCUGUGUCUAAAUAUAUGAUUUAAUGUCAUAACAAAUGAUUUAAUGUCAUAACAAACGAUUUAAAUUUUCUUUUGUGCUGAGUUAAAAUGAAUUAAAAAUUUGACAUUUGAUUUAUGUAAACAAUAUUUUAACUUAUUCUUAUCCUGUUUCUUGUGAUCCAUCUUCAUGAAGUUCAAAUUUGAAUUAUUUUUGUAGGAGUUUUAAUGUAAAAUAGUACAUAUACAUUGUGUAUAUAAACAUUGUGUAUAUAUACAUUUUUAUAUUUCAUGUCGGAAAAUUAUUAGCUUAAAAUAAUAUCAUACAAAUUUUUAUCUGAAAAUCUGUAAAUGAAAAUAAAAUGUUAAUACAUUUUGUAAAAAGGUUAAGUCAUAAUCAGCUGUGGAAACAUAGCCCUUACUUAUGAUACCAGAGAUAUCUAUAGCUGUGGAACCAUAGCCCUUACUUAUGAUACCAGAUAUCUAUCUGACAAUUUGCAGACCUUAUUCAGCAAACCACCAAAAAAUAUCACAAGGAACAUGUAAACUAUGGUUCUGCAGCUAAAAUAUGACUGAUAUGUUGUGGAAAAUAUUAACUAAAGAUUAAAUGAGCUUAAAUGCAAUGAAAACAUUCUGGAAAAAAUCAAAUCUACAUCUCGAUCUCACUUAUAUAUCUAAUCUCUUUUGUAUACAAAUCUAGAAUUUGUUAAAUUUGUAAUUGUACAUAAAAAAGAUGUGAUGAUUUGUGUAAAAUCUCUAUAUACUUCGUUUUUGCAUAGUUGUAUCAAAAAAUAAUUUUCAACAGCUUUAUAUUUGUUAAACAUUUAGCAUUUUCGGCAAAGUAAGGCUCUAAACACUAAGCAAACGUAAUCACCUUGUAAUGAGUUUCUUAAGAAAUGGUAAGAAGCUAUAAUCAAUCAUUUUCCUUUAUAAAGAAAGAUAAAAGAUGCAUUUGUAUUAUUCAUCUAAAUCAUUUGCUAGACUAUUUUCUAAAGUUAUAAUUUUGUAUCAAUAAUUAACUAUCUAAUAUCAUCAUCAACAAUUUAAGGCAGGAUGUACAAAAGUCAUUUAACCUUGAAAACGGUAGACAUGUUAUAAAAAAAAUAUCUUUCUAUGGAUUGACCUCUCAAAAUACAAUGUAAAACUAUUUGUGGAUUGAAAACAAAAUACAACACACAAUAUAAACUUAUCACAAUACUUAACAAUAUCUGUACAAAAACAAUACUAAAAUAUAUAAGAAAUGUUCAAAUGCUUCAUGUUUCCAUUAAAAAUAUAUAUUUGUAUUUAAUUUCAAAAAACACUGGAAAAGUAACAUUUUAACAAGGAUCCAGUUUCUUGUAUCCAAUGUAAGGAAAAGACAACUCUUUUUGCUUUGAUGUUGAAAUGUUGAAAAAAUAAAUUUAAAAUCAUUGAGAAACAAAAACAUGAUAUAUUCCUUCUUUAAAGCUACCAGCCCAAAACUAUAAGUACAAUGCUACCAUUUUUUAACUGUUUUUGUUUUUGCUCUCAAAUCUGCCAUCAUGAAUUUUCUCGCUACAUGUAUAUAGAUAUAAAGCACAAAAAAUGUUUUGUUAAGCGAAAUUUCAAAAUAACUAGAGGCUCUAAAGAGCCUGUGUCGCUCACCUUGGUCUAUGUGAAUAUUAAAGGAAGCAGAUGGAUUCAUGACAAAAUUGUGUUUUGGUGAUGGUGAUGUGUUUGUACAUCUUACUUUACUGAACAUUCUUGCUGCUUAAAAUUAUCUCUAUCUAUAAUGAACUUGGCCCAUUAGUUUCAGUGGAAAAUGUUAGUAAAAAUUUACAAAUUUUAUGAAAAUUGUUAACAAGAGUGCACACGCUGAAAUGUCUCGCCUUCUAUACUAAUCAUUGAUAUUAUGUUGAUAGUCCUAAGUAUAAAGCUUU